rnacentral:rRNA from 1 species
UGGGGAAUUUUGGACAAUGGGCGCAAGCCUGAUCCAGCCAUGCCGCGUGCAGGAUGAAGGCCUUCGGGUUGUAAACUGCUUUUGUACGGAACGAAAAGACUCCUUCUAAUAAAGGGGGUCCAUGACGGUACCGUAAGAAUAAGCACCGGCUAACUACGUGCCAGCAGCCGCUGUAAUACGUAGGGUGCGAGCGUUAAUCGGAGUUACUGGGCGUAAAGCGUGCGCAGGCGGUUAUAUAAGACCGAUGUGAAAUCCCCGGGCUCAACCUGGGAACUUCAUUUGUGACUGUAUAGGGAGAGUGCGGAAGAGGGGGGUGGAAUUCCGCGUGUAGGAGUAAAAUGCGUAGAUAUGCAGAGGAACACCGAUGGCGAAGGCAAUCCCCUGGGCCUGUACUGACGCUCAUGCAAGAAAGCGUGGGGAACAAACA